GUCUUGGAACCACAAAACAAUACAUCUUCGGGCGCAUGCAGCACCAACAACACCUCCACAUGCAUGCCUCUUGAGGGAAAAAGAAAAGAAACUUCCAUAUGCAUGCUAGGCACGAGCUUUUCCCAUGCAUGGUGCACAGGGUAGCAACCAAACAACCUCAUACUCCAUAAUCGGGUAUUUGAAUAGGCGUUUGAUCUUGCCUUUCUUUUCCUUGUAUACUUGCUUUUUUGCCCCAAUUUUUGUGAAUACUUUUAUUUUUUGUCCCUUCUCACACUUUUUUUUAUUUCUUUCACAUUAUCUAAUGAAUACAGUCUAAAUUUGAAGACCAAACGAUCUACCUUUCAUAACGAAAAAGAACCAUAAUUGAAUUAUGAACUCUAUAGGAACAUGUUGGUGUAUUUGGUUUGGCUAGAGAAGCGCCAAACAAAUGGCCCGUGACUGAAAAUUGUAAAAUGAUAGGCAGGCUUGUACAUAUGGAAGGAAUGCAUCGCAUUGUGGUUCUUCUAUAGGAGGACAACAGUUGGUGCAUGAGUUCAGCAAAAGCAAUGGACUUUGACGUGCGUUUUUUCUCCAAUGUUGAGGUUAUGCUUUACUGAACACAACAUACUGGUGUCGAGUUCUACUGCUAUUUAUUUUUGAACGUUGUAAUGCUGUUUUUUUUGCGAGGAUAUACUGCUGUUUUCAAUUGCUUGU
rnacentral:lncRNA from 1 species